rnacentral:lncRNA from 1 species
GAAAGGCAUUGGAGUCCGCAUUUAGUCCUGAUUUAAUUUACUGAUUUUUAUUUUUGCAGCAGUUUCUCGGUGCCUGCUGUGUCUACGGGCUGCAUCGGGGACAGGAAAUAGUUUUAACCUCUCACCAAAGACGCCCCAGAAGGCCCUCGUCCUGGUUACGGGGAAGGAAUUAUAGCGGACAGUUGCUAUCAGGAGGUCGUCAUCUUAAGGUAGCACGGAUAAGAACUGCACUGGAGAGGGAAUCAUGUUCGGGUUUUUCCCCAGCUCGGAGAACGCAGAAGUGCGGCCGCGCUGCUGCACGGCAGUGGGGGACCUUGGUUCUUUCCCGGACCCUUCAGCUGGGAGCCCUUGAUCAGCGAGAGCAGCGCGCUAAGGGGCCUGGGACUGUCCUGCACAGAGGAAAACCCAAGGAGGAGAAGGCCUGGUGGUCUGCAUAAGCUGAAAGGAGGGGUCAAGGGUUUCGGAGGCUGAAGGCCAAGGCCAGAGAAGAGCGAGCCCCUGGGGGCCCACAGGCCUCCCUAGGGUGUGGGAGGCCUGGCGCACACACUCAUCAGGGCAUGAACAGCUCUUAGGACUGUAAGAGGAGACACUGCGAGACAGUGUAGGGCAAGAGAACUGUGCACGCUCGCAGGAGAGAUGUCCCGGUGAACUUGUAGGGCG